rnacentral:rRNA from 1 species
GCGGCAGGCCUAACACAUGCAAGUCGAGCGGAUGAGGAGAGCUUGCUCUCUGAUUUAGCGGCGGACGGGUGAGUAACACGUGGGCAACCUGCCUGUAAGACUGGGAUAACUCCGGGAAACCGGAGCUAAUACCGGAUAUUAUUUCAAACCGCAUGGUUUGAAAUUCAAAGACGGUUUCGGCUGUCACUUACAGAUGGGCCCGCGGCGCAUUAGCUAGCUGGUGAGGUAAUGGCUCACCAAGGCAACGAUGCGUAGCCGACCUGGAAGGGUGAUCGGCCACACUGGGGCUGAGGCACGGCCCAGACUCCUACGGGGGGCAGCAGUAGGGAAUCUUCCGCAAUGGACGAAAGUCUGACGGAGCAACGCCGCGUGAGUGAUGAAGGUUUUCGGAUCGUAAAACUCUGUUGUCAGGGAAGAACAAGUGCCGGAGUAACUGCCGGCGCCUUGACGGUACCUGACCAGAAAGCCACGGCUAACUACGUGCCAGCCGCCGCCGUAACAC